GAAGAACUGCCACUGCACCUAGAAAAACAAGAAUUUGAAAGGGUAAAAGCUACUGUCACUGGCACUAAAGACAAGCUAAGAGGCACAGACAUGAGGCAACUAUGCGCUGUUCUUGGAAAGCAAAUGAGAGGUGUCAUGUCUGAGAAACCACAAACAGUCUUUGAUACUCUAACAGAAGUGUCAAGACUAUUGUAUAGCCACCCAAGCAAAAGAUGUCCAAGAGAUAUUUUGCGUCUCCACAACCAGAGCUUCCUUCAUGCCAUGACUUUGAAAGAGGUUAUCAAGGAAACAAAGUCCUUGACCGACCGAAAGCUGUAUGGGCGCUACUUCCACUCUCUUGUUGUCCAUUCCCCAAUCCAGUCGAGACUGGUCAGUGGUCGAUCUGUAAAUACUGAACAGCAGGAGCGCCACUUUAACACCUUCUCUGCAAUAGCAGAAAAUACCUCGAGCAGACGUCCUGGUGAAAUAAUCACACCCGGCCUAGUUCGUAUGCAGGCUGAACUAAAGCUAGCUGACCAACACAGAAACACUUUGAGUGAACAAGAAUCCAAAAUCAACAGUAUUGCCAAGUCAUCAUCUGCACUAUCCAACUUAAUCAUUCCAAACAGAUAUAUUCUUCGACACCCUAAUGAUUAUCAGGCUCACCUGGAGCGCAUCUCAGAUUUUCUUUUGUGUGGAGAGGGUGUAUGGUAGAGGCAAGUUGCUAGUGGUGUGGAGUUUUUUUGAUGGCCCCCAAGAGUUAGGUUCAAGGACAGCUGGUCCACCACUUCAUCACUUUAGAUCACAGACAAUAAAAUCAGAAAGAAGUUAUCUACAAGAGUGCUGGGACAAGUGCUUAGCCAAUGAUAUUCCAAUUCCACACUACAAAGUCAAGAUAUAUGAUGAUGAUGGUGAUUUAAAAGUAAGCAAGCUCACUGGGUUUUUUAAUGAUGAUGAUAAAGAGGAAGAGGAGGAAGACAGAGCAGAGGAGCUGGGAGUAUAUGUGCAUUCCCUCUAUGGUCACUGAAUGGAAUUUUCUUUUUUUUGGAAUUGUACAUUGUGAAGAUGAAAAAUAAUUUGAAUAAAAUGAUAGUAUCCUGUCUCUGGUCUCUGGGUGGAUUGUAAGAAUUAUAAUCAUAGCCAUAGCGGGCCCACUGCUACGGCCUGAUAAUGGACCUUUAGAAGCAGUCCAAACAAGGAACAUUGUAGGCCAACCAUAUUUAGAAAAGGGUUGACCUAGGACGGAAGUUGAUUCUACAUGUUAGGGACUACACUCAUAAAAAAUUGUAGAAAUCUGUGAAAGAAGGCUCCACAAUGCAGUUGUGGCCGAACUGGUUAGUGAUCUUAAACGAAACUCAAUGAGUUAUCUCUAGCGGAGUUUUCCAAAAGGACUAAAGUUCUAGCUUCUAUAAGGUCAGAAGAGUCUCGCCAAGAGAAGGAGCCUAUUUUAGGUCCCUUAAUCAACAAAGCUCUUGCUGAGCCAUUACAUAACAUGAAUAAUGCAUGGCAAUUUUUUAACAAAGCACUUUUAAAUGCUUUGAUAUCUCACAGCUACCUAAAAAUGCAACCUGCAUAAAAGAUCUUACAGAGGAUUGCCCAUUUUUGCUUUACUAGCCAGGGAUAAAAUAGGCAAAAUGCUCCUUGUUAAACAAAAAGCUAAAAUCCUAGCUGUAGUAUUCGGUAUACCUGUGUAGCGUCCGCAUUGCAAACAGGGCCUCGAGCAAAUUGAGAACUGGACGAAAUGGAUCAAGAGAUUUGAACGGUACAGGACUGCUUCGGGAUUCAAAAACAAGACGGAUACCGAGGAGAUCAGCACUUUACGCUAUGGGAGACUGUGCAGAUGAUAUUUUAGCGACGUUGAAAGUUGACGAAUCGAAGGCGAGUUAUAGUGAGAUGAAAACGGCCAAUUUUAACAGUCAAUACUUGGUCAUUAAUCAAGACAUCUUUUUGUCAAAGACUAAAGCCUUAAGCUAUCGAGUUAAAUUCAAUUUUAGAAGCAGGUUGCCAUUCUCUUAGUUCUUUCAUAAACUGCUUUGAAACCUUGUGAUUCAAAAAACAACUUACCCACGAAAAGGGCUGGUGCUGGCAGCUCGUACCUAACCCUAGCCCACUAGUUUGUAGUAAAUUCUUAUGGCAUAAUUUUAUUUUUGCAGAUAAUGGUCCACACUACCACAAUACUGGAGUUCUGGUUUACCUUGCUGAAGUAAAUUCAGUGUUCAACUUGGCACUCAAAUCAUACACAUUUUCCGAGGCUGGAGAAGGGAAAAGUGCAUUGGAUACACACUUUGCACACAUCUCCCACAAAAUUAUACGAUAUGUGCGUGUCGGGAAUGAUCUCGAAACUGGCGAGCAAGUAGCAGAUUUGAUCAAUGGACUUUAAGAACCGAGAACGCGGCGGGUCUAGGACGCGACCGGAAGUGUUUUUUUCACAUUUUGCCCAACAGCGCAUGCGCAUGAAGUUCUUUCUUCUUGGCGGGAACGCGACGAAUCGAGUUUUGAAGCGCUGUAGAAAACGUGUGUUCAACCAUGGCAUCAAACGUGCGAGAUGCAAAGGACAAACCUUUAAACAAUGUGAUCAUGUACUGGUCGACCUCCCAAAACAUAAUGUACUGUAGGGAAGUCCUGUUUACCAACCCCUUCCAGUUCAAAAAAUCUUCAACUGGGAGAACGUAAGCGUGGAAAAGCCUGGCUGACACUCUAAAGCAAGACUCAAGAGCAGUAAGGGACCACUUGGGAAACUUGAUUAAGAAGUACAAAAAGCAGAUGAGGGCCGAGGAGAGGGCAUCAGGUAUCGCCCCAGAUGAGCCCAGUGAGCUGGACCAAUUGAUCGAACAGAUUAUUGAACUGGAAGAAACUACAGUACCAGAGGAUAGUCAGCGAAAG